rnacentral:rRNA from 1 species
AUUGAACGCUGGCGGCAUGCCUUACACAUGCAAGUCGAACGGUAACAGGUCUUUCGGGAUGCUGACGAGUGGCGAACGGGUGAGUAAUACAUCGGAACGUGCCUAGUAGUGGGGGAUAACUACUCGAAAGAGUGGCUAAUACCGCAUGAGAUCUAUGGAUGAAAGCAGGGGACCUUCGGGCCUCGUGCUACUAGAGCGGCCGAUGGCAGAUUAGGUAGUUGGUGGGAUAAAAGCUUACCAAGGCUACGAUCGGUAGCUGGUCUGAGAGGACGAUCAGCCACACUGGGACUGAGACACGGCCCAGACUCCUACGGGAGGCAGCAGUGGGGAAUUUUGGACAAUGGGCGCAAGCCUGAUCCAGCAAUGCCGCGUGCAGGAUGAAGGCCUUCGGGUUGUAAACUGCUUUUGUACGGAACGAAAAGUCUUGGGUUAAUACCCUGGGAUCAUGACGGUACCGUAAGAAUAAGCACCGGCUAACUACGUGCCAGCCGCCGCAGUAAGAC